UCUUGUGUACAUGCCUCCAAUAUUAAUGCACUGGAUCCCAUUAUAACUCCAUAGUUAAGUGCACUUGUGCUAGAGUAGUAAUUGGAUGGAUGAUCACCAUGGAAGUCCUAGUGUCUUACAUGCC
rnacentral:rRNA from 1 species